rnacentral:rRNA from 1 species
GUCCACGCUGUAAACGAUGAGCACUCGAUGUGCGAGGUAUCCACUCCUCGCGUGUCACAGCUAACGCAUUAAGUGCUCCGCCUGGGGACUACGGUCGCAAGACUAAAACUCAAAGGAAUUGACGGGGCCCGCACAAGCGGUGGAGGAUGUGGUUUAAUUCGACGCAACGCGAAGAACCUUACCUGGGCUUGACAUCCCGCGACCGCCUCAGAGAUGAGGCUUCUCCUUCGGGAGCGCGGAGACAGGUGCUGCAUGGCUGUCGU